AAUCCCUACGGGGCGCAGCAGUGAGGAAUAUUGGUCAAUGGUCGGGAGACUGAACCAGCCAAGCCGCGUGAGGGAGGAAGGUACAGAGUAUCGUAAACCUCUUUUGUCAGGGAACAAAGACUUGGACGCGUCCCCGGAUGAGUGUACCUGAAGAAAAAGCAUCGGCUAACUCCGUGCCAGCAGCCGCGGUAAUACGGAGGAUGCGAGCGUUAUCCGGAUUUAUUGGGUUUAAAGGG
rnacentral:rRNA from 1 species